rnacentral:rRNA from 1 species
GACGAACGCUGGCGGCGUGCUUAACACAUGCAAGUCGAGCGGUAAGGCCCUUUCGGGGGUACACGAGCGGCGAACGGGUGAGUAACACGUGGGUGGACCUGCCCUCAGCUCUGGGAUAAGCCUGGGAAACCGGGUCUAAUACCGGAUAUGACUCCAUGACGCAUGUUGUGGGGUGGAAAGCCUUGUGCGGCUGAGGAUGGGCCCGCGGCCUAUCAGCUUGGUUGGUGGGGUGAUGGCCUACCAAGGCGACGACGGGUAGCCGGCCUGAGAGGGCGACCGGCCGACACUGGGACUGAGACACGGCCCAGACUCCUACGGGAGGGCAGCAGUGGGGAAUCUUGCGCAAUGGGCGAAAGCCUGACGCAGCGACGCCGCGUGAGGGAUGACGGCCU